AAGAGACAGCAGCCGCCACGGGAAUACGGAGGGUGCAAGCGUUAAUCGGAAUUACUGGGCGUAAAGCGCACGCAGGCGGUCUGACAAGUCAGAUGUGAAAUCCCCGGGCUUAACCUGGGAACUGCAUUUGAAACUGUCAGGCUGGAGUCUUGUAGAGGGGGGUAGAAUUCCAGGUGUAGCGGUGAAAUGCGUAGAGAUCUGGAGGAAUACCGGUGGCGAAGGCGGCCCCCUGGACAAAGACUGACGCUCAGGUGCGAAAGCGUGGGGAGCAAACAGGAUUAGAUACCCGCGUAGUCCCUGUCUCUUAUAC
rnacentral:rRNA from 1 species